CCCCCCCCAACGCACCUACAGACACACUCACACACUGUUUUGUAAAGGUGAACCACCAAGUGUUCAAUGUGACGAGGCACAUUGACAAUAGAGACGGAUCAGAGUGGACUGCCUUGAUUCAAAAUAGAGACAUUAACAUUAAUAUACAGGUAGAAUCAUGUUCAUGUUAUAAUGUACAUAAGGAAUAUUAUUGAAUGUCGUUUCUGCUAUGCAUGUUUAGUUAUGUGUGUGUGUGUAGUAUUAGUAGUAGUAUUCACAGUGUGUAGCACUCCAGGUUGUGUGGGUACCAGCCCAAACCAGACAGUUGAAGCAGGCUCUAACGUCCAUCUGUCCUGCCUCCUCACUCAGUGUCUGAGAAGUCUGGGACAUCACCAUCUCCAUGUGGAGUCGGAGAUCACUAACAAGGGCUGGCUGGAUAAAGAGCUGCACCCUCUCAUCUACCAUUACCAAGACCGGACUGUGCCUGUUGAAGCCAGAGUGAUUCUGGUCAGGGACAUCUCUGAAUGUGACUUCUCCGUCCUGCUGCUGUCAGUGACAGUCCAAGACAGUGGCACUUACAUGUAUCGCCUGUGUCCUCCACCCAGCAAUCCAGACAUCCAUGAGAGUCACACACAGCUCAGAGUGGUGGAGAGAUCAGAUGCAUUCUUUAUUUUCAAAAGAUAAAAUAUUUACUGUACUCACCGUAAUUAAAUAGAAGGGAAAUAUAUGAUAUAAAAUGUAUAAAAAUCAAUGCGUAUCUGCCAAAAAGGAGUCAGGCUAUUUAAAACGAAAUGACAGAUUAUCUUUUGUCUUUACAUCUUAAUUUCCCAGGGCGCCACAGGAGUUCCCCAGGAGAUUUCCAUAAACCUGAUGUUACCCAUCCUGAUUGGCUGUUGCCUCUGGCGUGUGCUGGUUUUGCUGUGCCUGGUGGACUGAGUCACACCGGGAAUGUGGGCGUGUCGUAGGAGGUCACAGCGGUGAGACGAUGCAGAGAGAGACCAGCAUGAGAGAAAGAAGAAGACAGGGAGAGAGUAUAGUCAGGAAACACACACAAGAUAUGCCUAUUUCAGAGGCACAGAAAAUAGGACAAAGGUAAUGAAAGGCUAUAAUAAAACGAAUGAAAAACAAACAAUCAGUAAAGAGUUUGUUUAAAGCUCUGCUUCAGUGCUAAGUCUUAGGCAUUUCACAUGUUGAACGGUUGGGAAUGUGGUUCUCUGAGAGUGGAAGAUUCUUUGAAAUCAAUUAUCCAGCGAAUGAGCAGUGUCUUUCAUAUAAUUGUUAUGAUGUUGAUGGAUGUUGAUGGAUGUUGAUGGAUGUUGCCGGCGCAACGCUGAUGAUGAUGAAGAUAGGUAUGAAAAUGAUGACACAAUUACCACGAUGAAAAAGAGGAGAUGGUGGUGAUGAUGACGAGAAAGAGGAAAUGGUGAUGACGCAAGAGUUGAUGUCAAAGAGCAAGAUGACUCCAACAACAACAACGAUCCCUUUCCCUGCUCACAAAAACGACUUCAGAUGCUAGGACUUGAAACGUUGUUAUGAGCCAGACUCUGAAACACAAUCGAUAAGCCAGCCUCCAUUUCUCAACCCUGAUAUCCUUUGAGAGGGUUAGAGGAUGUGUCUGGCACAUUCCCUUUUGUCUUGUAUAAUAUAUCAAUCUGUUAUGUUUGUAGGAAGGGUGGCUGUGACACGAACACUCUGAUGUCAUUCCCAGACUUCCCUCUUCUGCAGGUCCAGGAGGACCUGGCCUUGAUGUCAGUGAUCCUCCACAGAAACGAGGGAAAGAUGGCUCACGCCAGCAUCCAGCCGGACUAGGAGGCCAGGAGGCAACUGAAUUCUCCCCAUCCAGGAGACUGUUCAUAAAGUAGCUACAGAUUGUACACCAGAUAAUGUGAUAUAACCAAAGAUUUUUGGUAUCCAUUACUGGGCAUUAAUGGUUUGCCUAUACAAAACUUGCCAUAGAUUAUUCAACUAACCUAUUAUUGGCGAUACUAUCUUCAUUCUCGAUUCGGCCGAAAAUGUAUCUUCUGAAAUGUCAGUGUCCAACUGCAGGUGGUUCGUUUGAAUUGAAUACUACGUCUGGCAGAAAUGAGCGUUUGAUAUAGUGUCUCACAUUACGACCGCCAAAAGGACCAAGCUCACGGACAACCGGUAAAGUACGUUAAAAUAUAAUUAUAUUCAACAUUCUUGCUUGUAGAGGUUGUGAGAGGAAACUUUCCUGAUUCAAUGCAAUUCAGCAUUGGUUUACAGGCGUAGACAUGGUAGACUAUCAUAUAUCUUGCCCAAAGCGCCAAAGCUCUUUGAAAGUUUCAUCCUCAGAUUUGUCGCCUUAACAGGAUUUCUAAAGUCUGACGGAGGACUUGAGACAGACACCUUGCAAAUUACAAAGAAAAACGAACCGCAGUGCUUGGAUCCAAUUGGUUAAACUGCUCUAGGGAGUGGGAGAAAAUCCCACAAUCCUACAAGCUCUAUCUCCCGCUGGGCUGAACAUCCACACCUGCUCUCAUACAUCAAACAGAUACAGUAUCAGUGGUCCUCCUCCGAGGCCUUUUCAAGGUGCAGGGGAGUACUUAAGCCAUUUGCCGAUCCAUCUUUUCCCUCAGUACAGGGUCAACCAGUGCACCCACCCAGCCCGGCCCCUCACAACGAGGCUGGAAGUAGUACUACUACUACCACCCUCUCACUCGCUACAAAUACAUGGCUACCUCACUUCCAACCAACAAAGCACAUGGGGCCUGAGCUCUCAACCAAAAAACAGCAAGCAGCUUAAACCACUGCAGUUUGAAGCAUAACUAUUCAUCCGAGAACAGGCCGAGUCCAAAACCGAUGGAUGAUAUGCAUGUGAACAACUUUUCUUUUACAAUCCUCUCGUAAUCUAGGGUUCAUUCGGGAAGUUGUACAUCAACUUUACCAAAGGGUAUGGGCAAGGGAUAUUGCAGUUUGUGCAGCUGUCAUUACUACCAGUUGUUGCACGAGUGUAGAUUGCUGAAGUGUGGAAACGUAUUCUAAAAUAAAUCUGUGAGUCUCUGAAAUCCAACCGAGCAGAAAGCCGUGCAUGUGCCAAUAAACGCGAAAAGACUGAGUAUAAUCCGAUGCAGACACUGCAGAGUAGAGGUGGGCUCAUUGUACCAAUAAGCUGCAAAAUAAUCCCUUGACAGUGCCUCACAGCGAGCCUAUAAGCCCCUGUGUUUUGUGCAUGUACAAUAUUUAGCCUUUACGAUGAUGAGACUGAGACUAGGGGAAUGGAUGGCACUGAGCAAGUAUAGUCGGAGUGAGCAAGAUAAGGAGGAAGGGAGCGAGAGAGUUACAGAGGGAGUCGAUGAGAGCAGUGAGUGAAUCAGAGGAGGAGACUUUAGAGGGGUUGAGUGGAAAAAUAGCACAUGGAACCGGUGGAAAAAGGAGAGAGUGAGAGAAGGGGAGGUAGGGAGUAGAAAGACAAGGCUGGAGAUGGAUGCAUGACUUGCAGAGUGAAAAGGUUUUGACUGCACAGAGGAUGAGAGAGUGAGUGAUUCAACGAGAAAGAGAUGAGCUGAUGAGGAGAGGAGAGGAGAGAAGGAGGGCGGUGCGGGGAAAGAUGACAUGCAGCCUAGACAGAUGAUGGGGGAACUAAGGAUAGAUUGGGAGUUGCAAAUAAACAAUUAAACAUCCUGAAAAGACAAGUGGUUGCAUUCACCAAGGAAUCUUUUCAUGAAUGAGCUGGUAUCCUGCUAUGACUUCAGGGUUUAAAAAAAAAUAUCAACUUUAUUGUAUCGAUUGUUUGUGUGAUUGUGUUUAUAAUAUGUAAAUUAUAUUAUAUCACCUUACUAAAUAAACUUGUAUACUGUGUAGAAUACUUAAAGAGCAAACGUAUCACUUGUCAGCAUUCUCUCUCUCUCUCUCAAUUCAUUUCAGUUCAAUUCAAAGGGCUUUAUUGGCAUGGAAGACAUAUGCUUACAUUACCAAAGCAAUAGGCUCAAUAUAUUAUACCGCCUCCAACGUUCUAAUUUACUUCUGACCGGGUUGAUGACUUCCGGACUAAUUCUGCUAUUGUUUUUAUCAUUAGCUUACUAGCUAUUGUCGAUGCAUUUCUGACUGAAAUAGUUCGCAAUGACUACGUUUAAAUUACAGCCCCGCGAAGGAGGUGCUAAUGAACAUUGUUCAGUGCCUCUGUGUUCAGUUUCUUCCAAAUCUAAUUGUAUUGGGAGCUUCCAUCCUUUCCCGGUCGAUGUAACGUAGAGCUCAGAAAAAGGUGGUUGGUGGCAGUACGUCAUGACAACUAAACACACAAAGGUGUGUAGUACACAUUUUGUCGAAAGUGACUUUGUGGAGGGAAAAAUUGGGGGGCGACAAUACCUAAAAAGAGGUGUUGUUCCUACUGUCUUCGCAUGGAACUGGCACAUUCAAAAGAGACCUGGUGUUUGGGAAAGAAGACUGAAACGUCCUGCUCCGAAUGAGGGGGAUGAAGAACAAGGUGCGCUGCCUAUGAACUGUGCCGUCUCUGAUGCGGCCCAGACCCACGAUUACUGUGCAGUCCCUGAACCCGCAGCCCUGGACAUGGCCCUAAUGGCAAACCAUGAGCACGUAAGAGAAAUUGAGGAGCUUCGAGCCAAGCUGGAGAAACUGACCACCCAACACGGCUUUGGUCUACAGCGAUUUGCUGGUUCUGACGGGGAUAUAUGUUUUUACACAAGGUACAGUAAUGAUUUAUUAUUAUCCAGCAUGACUAUUGUUUAUUAUUUACUAUGAAUUAUUAGUAUUAUUAUCCCAAAGUCCAUCUUACCUUUAAUUAAGUACAUGUUCAUUGUUAUUUGAAACUAGGCUAGCAUAUUUUAGCCUAAACAGGCACAUUGAAUGUAUAUUGUCUUCACAUUAGUUUUCAGUUAACCCCCAAAAAUGCUCCCAGGUCGUUGCUUCAAAUAAGAUUUGGUUUUUAGUCCACUUUCCAGGUUAAAUAACAGAACAUUUAAAACAAAUUCACUGCUGUGAUGAUAGCUGCUGUGAAUUACAGUACGAAUUGCAGUAACAAGAAAAACAGGCUACAAUAGCAGCUAGGUCAUGUCUAAUGCUACGUGAUGCUUAGAGAAGAUGGGCAAUAACAGUAAUGAGCUUUUUUGGUAUUCAAAUACUCUGGGUCCAUCUUCAGAUUUGCAAACUACACCCACCUGAUGGCCUUCUGGCACUUGAUUGAGCGGGCAGCAGAGACCAAGAGACCAAGUUAAUAAGAGUCACACGCACCAAUCCAUCUGAAACAAGUGUUGCUGGAAGAAAACCAACACUGCCAUCAAUCGACAUGUUCUUCUUGUUUAUGACUCAUCUGUCGCUGGGUCUGAAGCAGAAGGAUUUAGCCCAUCGGUUCAGCAUCCACCAAUCGAAAGUGAGCCGGAUUAUCAUCUCUUGGGCCAACUUCCUCUACUGUCUGCUUGGAUCAGCACGGAUAUAUGGAUCCACAAGGAAACCAUCAACGCCCACCUGCCACCUGAGUUCAAGGACUAUCCAGACACCCAGGUAGUGAUCGACUGCACUGAACUCUGCUGCCAGACACCAUCGUCACUACUACUGCAGAGUGAGGUGUUUUCUUCCUACAAGACACACUGUACCUUUAAGGGCAUGUUGGGAACGUCACCACAUGGAGCUGUCACUGUUGUGUCAUCGUUGUAUGCUGGAUCUGUGAGUGACAAGGAGAUCUUCAAGCAGUCUGGAAUUAUUUCCUUACUCACCCCUGACAUGGCCAUUAUGGUGGAUAAGGGCUUUCUCAUAGAUGACAUUGUUCCGUGCAAGGUCUACCGGCCAGCCUUUCUGCCAAGACGCACACAGAUCCCAGGGCAUGAGGUUAGGGAGACCCAAUCCAUUUCCAGGCUGAGAGUGCAUGUUGAAAGAAUGAGCCGCAGAGUAGAGGAGCAUAAUCUGUUUGACACAGUCAUCCCCUUGACCAUCUCAGGCAGCAUCAACCAGUUAUUUGCAGUGGCGUGCCUGUUGGUCAACUAUCAAAACGGACCUUUGGUCAGAGCAUGGGCCAAACCAGUGUAAAUGUACAUGUGUUUAUUUGCUAGCAGCAAAAUAAUAAUUUGUUUAUAUAUGACAUGUAGUGAAUAUCAGUUUGUGUGGAGCUUGUAUUGGCUUUAAUUAGGCAAUGAGUAACAGGGGUGGGGGAAAGAAAUCAAGUAAACACAGAAUAGCCAGAAUGCAAGAUUGAAUGCAAUGUUAGAGAUGUGUAAUUGAUUAACCUGUCUAGGAUCAGC